GGGCAUACCCGCCUACCAACCCCUAUCAAACUCCGAAUACCAUUCAAUAGAGCGCAGCAGUGAGACGGCGGGGGAUAAGCUUCGUCGUCGAGAGGGAAACAGCCCAGAUCAGCAGCUAAGGUGCCUAAAUUGUGCUCAGUGGAAAGGAGGUGAGGUUUCAUAGACAGUGAGGAUGUUGGCUUAGAAGCAGCCACCAUUUAAAAAAUGCGUAAUAGCUUACUCAUCGAGAGACCUUGCGCCGAAAAUACUUGGCGAUAAGCACAAUACCGAAGCUCUGGGUGUCCUAGUUUACUAGGGCGCGGUAGAGGAGCAUUCUCUGUGCAGUGAAGGGUGAUGGCGACUGACCCUGGAGCGCAGAGAAGUGAGAAUGCAGACAUGAGUAACGAUAAGAGCGGUGAAAUCCCGCUCCGCCGUAAAUCCAAGGUUUCCCGGGCAACGUUUUUCGUCCCGGGGUUAGUCGGGACCUAACCCGAGGCCGAUGGGCGUAGGGGAUGGUAAGCAGGUUAAUAUUCCUGCACCCAGUAAGGAGGACGCAUAAUGAAAAGCUACUAGGUUAUUGAAUUCCGAGGCGAGGCUUAGGCCGGACCGUAUAGCUGGACAGAGUGCCAAGAAAAGCCCUUACAUUAAUGGCCCGUACCGUAAACCGACACAGGUGGAUGGGUAGAAUAUACCAAGGCGCAAGAGUGAAACCUGGUCAAGGAACUCGGCAAAAUAGCCCCGUAACUUCGGAAGAAGGGGUGCCCCCUCUGGGGGGCCGCAGUGAAAUGGCCCAACCGACUGUUUAGCAAAAACACAGCAUUGUGCUAAGGCGUAAGCCGACGUAUACGAUGUGACACGUGACCAAUGCCAAAAGAUUACGGUAAGAUGUUAGCACUUUAGUGCGAAGCUUCGAGCCCAAGUCCUGGUGAAUGUCGGCCGUAACUAUAACGGUCCUAAGGUAGCGAAAUUCCUUGUCGGGUAAGUUCCGACCUGCACGAAUCGUGCAACGAGUUGGGCGCUGUCUCGACCAGGUGCUCAGUGAAAUUGUAGUUCCGGUGAAGAUGCCGGACACCCGCAGAAGGACGGAAAGACCCUAUAGACCUUAACUGUAAGCUGUUAUUGGUUGUUCGAUCUUAAUGCUCAGCAUAAGUGGGAGACAUUGAAGGGUGCGUUUAGGCGCAUCUGGAGUCAUCAGUGAGAUACCACCCUUUAAUAUUGGAUAAUCUAACCCCGAGCCGUCAUCCGGCCGUGGGGACAAUGGCAGCCGGUCAGUUUUACUGGGGCGGUAUCCUCCUAAAGAGUAACGGAGGAGCGCGAAGGUGGGCUCAGCACAGUUGGCAACUGUGUGUUGAGUGUAAAGGCACAAGCCCGCCUAACUGUGAGACCUACAAGUCGAGCAGAUACGAAAGUAGGCCUUAGUGAUCCGGCGGUAGAAUGUGGAAUUGCCGUCGCUCAACGGAUAAAAGGUACCUUAGGGAUAACAGGCUUAUCACGCCCAAGAGUUCAUAUCGACGGCGUGGUUUGGCACCUCGAUGUCGGCUCGUCGCAUCCUGGGGCUGGAGAAGGUCCCAAGGGUCCGGCUGUUCGCCGGUUAAAGCGGCACGCGAGCUGGGUUCAGAACGUCGCGAGACAGUUCGGUCCUCUAUCCUCUGUGGGCGUAGGAAAAUUGAAGGGUUCAGACCUUAGUACGAGAGGACCGGGUUUGACGCACCUCUGGUGUUCCAGUUGUUCUGUCAAGGGCACUGCUGGGUAGCUAAGUGCGGAACGGAUAAGCGCUGAAAGCAUCUAAGCGCCAAGCCAUUCCUGAGAUAAAUUUUCCCUGAAGGAUCGUGGAAGACGACCACGUUGAUAGGCUGGGGGUAGAAGUGCAGCAAUGUAUGUAGCUCACCAGUACUAAUCAUCCGUUCGACUUAAUUCC
rnacentral:rRNA from 1 species